rnacentral:rRNA from 1 species
UACGUAGGUGGCAAGCGUUGUCCGGAUUUACUGGGCGUAAAGAGCGCGCAGGCGGUCGAUCAAGUCGCGUGUGAAAGCCCCCGGCUCAACUGGGGAGGGUCACGCGAUACUGAUCGACUCGAAGGCAGGAGAGGGUAGUGGAAUUCCCGGUGUAGUGGUGAAAUGCGUUGAUAUCGGGAGGAACACCAGUGGCGAAGGCGGCUCACUGGACCACAACUGACGCUGAGGCGCGAAAGCUAGGGGAGCAAACAGG